AAAAGUAGAUAGGCUGACAGUGGGC
rnacentral:miRNA from 1 species